AAAGGUUUCGACGGGGAUGUGGAAGCAGGAGUAGCGAGUCGUUGUCGCCAAACAACGUUAAAAGUGGCAACUUAAAUUAAACGCAAACGAAGAUUACGCAUUUGCUGCUUAAUUAAAGCAGCACGUCCUACCCGAGAAUCCCACGCCUUGGGAUAGGGCGCCAACUCAGUGGGGAACCGAGCCUUACAAAGCUUUGAGUAGGGAACGGAAUCUAUGAAGCUACUGAAGCUAGAAUCCUGUCAGUAGGAGUCUAGUGGAGGGAAUCUCAAAUUACUGGCUGCACUCGGAGAAACUCUUGUGGAAAUAUUUUCGGACGUGGGUUCGAUUCA
rnacentral:tmRNA from 1 species